rnacentral:rRNA from 1 species
GACGAACGCUGGCGGCGUGCUUAACACAUGCAAGUCGAACGGAAAGGCCUCUUUCGGGGGGUACUCGAGUGGCGAACGGGCGAGUAACACGUGAGUAACCUGCCCUUGACUUUGGGAUAACUUCAGGAAACUGGGGCUAAUACCGGAUAGGAGCUCCUGCUGCAUGGUGGGGGUUGGAAAGUUUCGGCGGUUGGGGAUGGACUCGCGGCUUAUCAGCUUGUUGGUGGGGUAGUGGCUUACCAAGGCUUUGACGGGUAGCCGGCCUGAGAGGGUGACCGGCCACAUUGGGACUGAGAUACGGCCCAGACUCCUACGGGAGGCAGCAGUGGGGAAUAUUGCACAAUGGGUGGAAGCCUGAUGCAGCAACGCCGUGUGCGGGAUGACGGCCUUCGGGUUGUAAACCGCUUUCGCUCAUGACGAAGCUUUGUGUGACGGUAGUGGGUAAAGAAGCACCGGCUAACUACGUG